CCCUUAGAUGUUCUGGGCCGCACGCGCGCUACACUGAUGCAUUCAACGAGUCGAUCCUUGCUCGAAAGAGCCGGGUAAUCUUUUGAAAUUGCAUCGUGAUGGGGCUUGCGGGAUGCAACUACCCGCACCAACGAGGAAUGCCUAGUAGGCGCAAGUCAUCAGCUUGCGUCGAUUACGUCCCUGCCCUUUGUACACACCGCCCGUCGCUCCUACCGAUUGGGUGUGCUGGUGAAAUGUUCGGAUCGGCCGUUUGUCGCGGUUUCCGCGUCAUGUGGCUGAGAAGUUCAUUAAACCCUCCCACCUAGAGGAAGGAGAAGUCGUAACA
rnacentral:rRNA from 1 species